rfam:Picea glauca, whole genome shotgun sequence.
GGGCGUGAUCAUACCAGCGUUAAUGCACCAGAUCCCAUCAGAACACGACAGUUAAGUGCACUUGGGCCACAGUAGUAAUGGGAUGGGUGACCUCCCGGGAAGUCCUAGUGUUGCACCCU